UAGAUUAAUGAGUUGCCCAAUGUGAUACAGUUCCUAAGAGGCAAACUUAGGAUUCCAGCUCAGGUCAACUUGACUGAAGCUCAGACUGUCUCAUGCCUCUAGGACGAUCAUCUUUCCUUCUAGAAACCACGUUGCCUUCUCCUCACGUGCAGCUAAGCUACAGGGUUCUUCAUGGGCCGGGUGUUGAGAAAAUGGCGCCAUUAGCACGUUCUGAGGGUGGACUUGGGGGCCCGCUGACGUCAAAAGGUCACCGCGGGGACACUUGCGCAUGCCCAGAUGGAAGGCCCGCGGUCUCAACCAGUCUUAACCGGCUAGAGCUCAAACUGGACACAGCUGACUGGACGACAACUCAGGCAAACUUCUUAUCGUUUAGGCUACGUGAAGCUUAGAGGACGUGGAAGUUUUGUAAAAACAAGCCAAGAAAGAUGAUGGUUCCUUGUGGUCCCUCAUAAUAUCCAGUCCAGAUGGCUGGGAGGGGCAAGUGUACAGUACCUUGAAAAGGACAGUAGUACAGUACGACAGCUGGCAUACAGGGGCUGGCAUCGAGUGAACAGGCAAGAAGAGUUACUGACUGGAGGAGGGAGAGGAGGUGGGAGAUGGUAGAGCUGAAGGAUCGUCAGCAACAGGAGACGGAGGGCGAGCUGCAGUUUCACUCAUGCCUGAACGCACGUUCGCAUCUUUGAAAGUUCACAACUUGAAGGAGUUUCCAAACACAACCUGAACGCUGGGGUUUGCCCUGGACCCGAAGGAAGUGCUUGGGUACCCCGUACCGUGUGUG